rnacentral:rRNA from 1 species
GUGAGGAAUAUUGCGCAAUGGAGGCAACUCUGACGCAGCCAUGCCGCGUGCAGGAAGAAGGCGCUACGCGUUGUAAACUGCUUUUAACCGGGAAGAAACCCCAGGACGUGUCCUGGGUUGACGGUACCGGAGGAAUAAGCACCGGCUAACUUCGUGCCAGCAGCCGCGGUAAUACGAAGGGUGCAAGCGUUAUCCGGAUUCAUUGGGUUUAAAGGGUGCGUAGGCGGAGCGUUAAGUCAGUGGUGAAAUCCUGCAGCUUAACUGUAGACUUGCCAUUGAUACUGGCGUUCUUGAGUGCGCUUGAAGUGGGCGGAAUGUGCCGUGUAGCGGUGAAAUGCUUAGAUAUGGCACAGAACACCAAUUGCGAAGGCAGCUCACUAAGGCGAUACUGACGCUGAGGCACGAAAGCGUGGGGAUCGAACAGGAUUAGAAACCCCGGUAGUCC